rnacentral:sRNA from 1 species
CUUCGGGCGGCCCAUAUUGCGGUGCCUUGUCGCGAAAAAUCCGGCUUGCAGGCGGACGGCCUGCGGCGCCGGAUUUUCCACGAAAGUCCCUCGCAAUUUGGGCCGUCAAAACCCUAUCCAUAAGU